UUGCCAGCCCGCUCAGAAACUCAAAGGAAUUGACGGGGCCCGGCACAAGCGGUGGAGCAUGUGGUUUAAUUCGAUGAUACGCGAGGAACCUUACCUGGGCUCAAAUGUAUGUUGACGUAUUCUGAAAGGGAUACUUCUUCGGACAAUAUACAAGGUGCUGCAUGGUUGUCGUCAGCUCGUGCCGUGAGGUGUCGGGUUAAGUCCCAUAACGAGCGCAACCCUAUCAUUAGUUGCCAUCAGGUCAAGCUGGGGACUCUAAUGAAACUGCCUACGCAAGUAGUGAGGAAGGUGGGGAUGACGUCAAAUCAGCACGGCCCUUACGUCCAGGGCUACACACGUGCUACAAUGGCCGGUACAAAGGGCAGCUACCUGGUGACAGGAUGCUAAUCUCAAAAGCCGGUCUCAGUUCGGAUCGGAGUCUGCAACUCGCCUCCAUGAAGUCGGAAUCGCUAGUAACCGCAGAUCAGCUACGUUGCGGUGAAUACGUUCCCGGGCCUU
rnacentral:rRNA from 1 species